rnacentral:snoRNA from 1 species
ACCUUCUUGUUUAAGCUCUGUUCUAAAAUUGCGAAACUAGUAUCAUUUCUUAGCAUUUGUAAUAAAGCUAUAAGAGAAAACACAAGAAGAAAGAACAACU